AACGGAUCCGACUAGGAGCUAUGGAAUAUUUCGGCUUACUGACCCUGGCGGCAUGACUGUCCUGAAACACUGCAAAGAGAAGGGAUUCCACCCCCACCAAGAAACCGCUGAUGGUACUCCGAUUUUCGAGAGUUGCUCCAAUGUUUACAUCAAUCCAAACUUGAGGUUCGAGAUUAUUGAUUUACGCACUUCUUCCUCGUGAAUAUAGUUACGACUUCAGCAUAAGAUGUACAUACAUAAAUGGAUAUAGACAGAAGCAUAAUAAGGUGUUAACGCAAGCUACAUAAAUGCAUAUAGACAAA
rnacentral:misc_RNA from 1 species